AUCAGGCGAGGUGGUGUGCUACUUAGCCAUCCAGAGGACUCAGAUUCUCUUUCCUCUGGAGCAGAUCGACUGCUCGGUCUUCCCCUCCUCUGGUCUGGUGGAGAAUGCAGAGCAGCUAGUGUGGACUGCCUGCAUUCCUCUCUAUGUCCGGAAGCUCUCUCUCUCUCAGGGGGAGGUCGGGGUUCCUGUGUCCCAGCGCAGCGCAACCUGGAUAGUAGCCUGCGCUCUUUGGGGAGACUCCUGAGCGCAGAGCACAGCGCUCUGCUGGGAUGUGUUGUCCUUCAGGGGGAGGUCCGGUCGGCCGCCUUUUCCUGAGUGCAGGAUGAACUCUCCUUCAGGGGGGGGGUGCCGAACUGCCCGAGCGCAGUGCU